CUUGAUUUCAAGAUUAUAAUAAUUUGGAGGAGAGGGGUGUUACAUUUUUUUCCAUUUCAAGGGAGGUUUCUGCCUUCCUUAGCAGACACCUGUCUUUUCAAACCACGACAGACAAUUACAACACUGAAUAGCCCUGUGGCAAGAGACAGUUUUUUUCUUGUAUUUGUUGUUAAGAUGAAGAAAAAAUAUGUGUCUUUUUCUCUUAUCUUGCACUCAGAGAUGGCCAAAAGAAAAGAGGUCCUGGCUGAGGCAGCAGAAAGCCUGCAAGGAAAGCAGAGGACUAAAUGGGCUCCUUGGCAUCUCUGCAAGGUGCCCCCUUUGUCUGCAGUCAUACACUCACCUCCUGAGGAUGCUGCAGCUUCCUCCAGCCAGGGCUGUGCAGCCAAGAAGAAGGUGGACUGAUCAUGGACUGGGUGUGUAGACUUUACAGAAAGCCCAGGAGAAACCCUGGACUAUGGCAGUCUAAGUACCUGUCUAUCAAGUACCUGUCAACUAACCAGCCAAAACCCACUUUCAAAAGAUGUUUUCCUUAUGGAAUUCUACACCCUGAAGACAAUGACAUAUGUGAUAACAGCAAUAAAAGAAUUCAUAUCACACCA
rnacentral:lncRNA from 1 species